GUUUGCGGCGGGCUUAACACAUGCAAGUCGAACGAGAAUCCCUUCGGGGAGGAAAGUGGCGCACGGGUGCGUAACACGUGGAUGACCUACCCCUUGGUUCGGGACAACAGCGGGAAACUGCUGCUAAUACCGGAUGUGUCGUAGCAAUACGAGAAAGGCCCCGCAAGGGUCGCCAGAGGACGGGUCCGCGUCCCAUCAGCUAGUUGGUGAGGUAAUGGCUCACCAAGGCGAAGACGGGGUAGCUGGUCUGAGAGGAUGAUCAGCCACACUGGAACUGAGACACGGUCCAGACUCCUACGGGAGGCAGCAGUGGGGAAUAUUGCGCAAUGGGCGAAAGCCUGACGCAGCCACGCCGCGUGAGCGAUGAAGGUCUUCGGAUCGUAAAGCUCUGUGGGGGGAGAAGAAGAAAGUCGGUGAAGAGCCGGCCUGACGGUAUCCCCUUAGCAAGCACCGGCUAACGUCCGUGCCAGCAGCCGCGGUAAUACGGAGGGU
rnacentral:rRNA from 1 species